UGCUCUAAUUCUCUGAGCAAAAGGCUGAAGAAACCAUAUGACAAGAAUACGUGAAGGCUUCUCCAGUCUGUCCCUUUUAGAUGCCAUUGCUUUGAGCAGGACCCAGGCACACUCCUGCCUGCUCUGCCUCUUUGAAAGGGCAGUAUUAGGAGAGUGAUCUCAUCAGGGCCACACGAACCUGGUCCUUUGGCUAGGGGCCUGGGCCAAACCCCACCCCCUGGCACACCUGGUCAGGCAGGUAUAAAAGAGGGAACCAGCUUCAGCUCCCACAGCAGCUUCUCUCUGGCAUCAUGCAUUCUACUGGCCUCUUCUCCCUUCUCCUGCUCCUGGUUCUUGGGACCCUGAUGUCUGAGGCUACCAAAGCCACAACUCCUAUUAAAGGACUUCCUCCUCAACAAACACUCAUCAAAGGUCUUGUCACAUCGAAGGACUCUUCCACGAGCAAGCCUCAUCCUAUUAAGGGAUCUUCCAACAAAUUCAGUGGUUCAACCAAGUUUCAUUCUUCAAUCAACCUUCCUAUAACCAAAAGCCUAAGUUCUGGGAAGUCAGGUACUUGGCCACCUCCAUCCCCCAACCAGUGUGUCCUUCGUAAAAGAAGAGCUGGGCUCGUCGGUAGAGAAAAGUUGACUUGUGAAGACUUGGUGAGGGAGAAGGGGGAAUGAGGAGGGGAGUAUGGAGAGGAACCUGGCAAGAGUGGCUCAGAGCAGAGUGAAGAGACUUCAUUGAAAUAAUGAGUAACACAAACACUAAUAAUAGCAAUAAUUGAGAUGUGGACAGCCUUUGGGUUGUGGGAGAGGGUCUAAAGUACAGUAGAAGGAGCCCUGGCUUGCGUAACAGAAGGUCUGGGCUGCCACCUUAGUCGGGCAUUAGAAUACAGCAGAAAAAAAUGGAUUUAGCCUUGGUGAAGGGGAGUUUACUUCUUGGCACAACCACUUCCUCUCUCCAGGCCUCAGUUUCCUCUUUUUCAAAAUGAGGGGAUUAGGAAUCAUGAUUGCUAAGGUCUUUUCUAAUACUAAAUCUAUAAUUUAAUGAUCCUGCCAUGAUGUUGGGUUGAAAAACAAUUUCUUUCUCAACCUGGGCCCUGAUAUUUGUUAAAUCUCUGCUUUGUGUGAAAGAAAGAUCCCUGAGACCUUUCCCUGAUCUAACAUUCUAUAUUCUGAGGCCCCUCCUAUCUCUGAUGUUUCUAGGUUUUAAGAUCCCUCUCAGCCUUAUCAUUCUGUAUCCUAAGGCCCUUCCAGCACUGAUAUUUCAUGUUCAAAACUGCCUCCAAGCUACGACAUUUUAUGAUUCUGUGACUUCUACUUUUCAAUGUUCUAUAUUAUCUAAUAUCUGAGAAUUUCCCUAAGGAAAAGAAAUUAGACUUCCUUCCCACAGCCCUAGAGGAAAGAACUAAGAAUGACUGGGAGAUUCCCUUCCCUUCCCUUCUUUCUACUAAACAGCAGCACCUCUGAGAAAGAGCUAAGCCCCUGAAAUUGGGCAGGCGCCAAAGGGGAUGGCUCUUUUAGGGUUGUGUAUAUGGGAGGCAGUUUAUACAGUAGGGCAUGCUAGUCUGACCCCAAAGCUCUGUCCCUGGACUAACCCUUUUGUCUCUCCUCAGGUAAAGUUCAUAUGUGAUGCCAUGGAGUGUUGGAGCUCACUGAAGCUCUCUCCUGCCUUCCAGUUUUCUCCUUUGUAUCUCUGAGUGGAAGAAGCUUUCUCCUUCCCAAAGUCCUUUCUUUUAAUCACUAAUAAAGAUGCCAAAUUCCCCUGCA
ensembl:lncRNA